rnacentral:rRNA from 1 species
GAAAGCAGGGGAUCGUAAGACCUUGCGCUUUUGGAGUGGCCGAUGCCUGAUUAGCUAGUUGGUGGGGUAAAGGCCUACCAAGGCGACGAUCAGUAGUUGGUCUGAGAGGACGACCAGCCACACUGGGACUGAGACACGGCCCAGACUCCUACGGGAGGCAGCAGUGGGGAAUUUUGGACAAUGGGCGAAAGCCUGAUCCAGCAAUGCCGCGUGAGUGAAGAAGGCCUUCGGGUUGUAAAGCUCUUUCAGUCGAGAAGAAAAGAUUGUGAUGAAUAAUCACAGUUCAUGACGGUAUCGACAGAAGAAGCACCGGCUAACUACGUGCCAGCAGCCGCGGUAAUACGUAGGGUGCAAGCGUUAAUCGGAAUUACUGGGCGUAAAGGGUGCGCAGGCGGCUUUGUAAGUCAG